AACGAACGCUGGCGGCAGGCUUAACACAUGCAAGUCGAACGCCCCGCAAGGGGAGUGGCAGACGGGUGAGUAACGCGUGGGAACGUGCCCUUCGCUUCGGAAUAGCCCCGGGAAACUGGGAGUAAUACCGGAUACGCCGUAUUGGGAAAGAUUUAUCGGCGAAGGAUCGGCCCGCGUUAGAUUAGCUAGUUGGCGGUGUAAUGGACCACCAAGGCUACGAUCUAUAGCUGGUCUGAGAGGAUGAUCAGCCACACUGGGACUGAGACACGGCCCAGACUCCUACGGGAGGCAGCAGUGGGGAAUCUUGGACAAUGGGCGCAAGCCUGAUCCAGCCAUGCCGCGUGAGUGAAGAAGGCCUUAGGGUUGUAAAACUCUUUCGCCGGAGAAGAUAAUGACGGUAUCCGGAGAAGAAGCCCCGGCUAACUUCGUGCCGGCCGCCGCAGUAAAAC
rnacentral:rRNA from 1 species